rnacentral:rRNA from 1 species
UACUUAGGUGGCAAGCGUUGUCCGGAUUUACUGGGCGUAAAGAGCGCGCAGGCGGUCGUUCAAGUCGCGUGUGAAAGCCCCCGGCUCAACUGGGGAGGGUCACGCGAUACUGAUCGACUGGAAGGCAGGAGAGGGUAGUGGAAUUCCCGGUGUAGUGGUGAAAUGCGUAGAUAUCGGGAGGAACACCAGUGGCGAAGGCGACUACCUGGCCUGUUCUUGACGCUGAGGCGCGAAAGCUAGGGGAGCAAACGGG